UCAUUACAGAGAACAUCGCUGUAUAGGUGACUCUCCAACCCUGUGUUAUUAUACCUUUGUUGCUUUGGCGAGCCGCUCCGGCCACCGGCUCACGCUGGUGAGUGCUCGCCAGAGGACCCUCAACUCUGUUUAUACAUGUCGUCUGAGUACUAUAUAAUAGUUAAAACUUUCAACAACGGAUCUCUUGGUUCUGGCAUCGAUGAAGAACGCAGCGAAAUGCGAUAAGUAAUGUGAAUUGCAGAAUUUAGUGAAUCAUCGAAUCUUUGAACGCACAUUGCGCCCUGUGGUAUUCCGCAGGGCAUGCCUGUUCGAGCGUCAGUACAACACUCAAGCUUCGCUUGGUCUUGGGCCCCGCCGGAAACGGCGGGCCUUAAAAUCAGUGGCGGCGCCUCUCGGGCCCUAAGCGUAGUAAUACUCCUCGCUACAGGGACCCGGUGGACGCUGGCCAGCAACCCCCAACUUUCUAAGUUUGACCUCGGAUCAGUAGGGAUACCCGCUGAACUUAA
rnacentral:sRNA from 1 species